GGCGGGAUUACCCGCUGAGUUUAAGCAUAUCAAUUAGC
rnacentral:rRNA from 1 species